rnacentral:rRNA from 1 species
AUGCAUUUUGAGAUUUUAGAUGAGAAGAAUGGGGAUCACCUCCGCUCUUAUGCUCAUGCGAUGAUUGUUAUUCAGUCAAUGAAGACUGCGACAGUGGAAAAUUUUAGCUAUUACAACCAAGCAAUUACAUUGGAUGGCCAAUUCAACAUUUAUAGUGACAAAUUUUAUUCCAACAGGAAGAUGUCACAACAAGCUAAAUCUCAUACUUAA